rnacentral:lncRNA from 1 species
GCACACAUAUACACUCACACAUACAAACGCAUUUAGAGUGACAGGCCUCUUCUAACUUACGUGUACCAAAUAUAUAUGUAUAUAUAUAUAUGAAUAUAUAUAUGUGUGUGUGUGUAUGUAUAUGUAUAUGUAUAACUACAUGCAUGCUGUACAUGUGUGUGUAUAUGUGUGUGUGUGUGUGUGAUGUAAGGUAUUGUUUUAGUAUUUUCGCAUAAUCUUUUAUCAUGCAUAAGUAUACUAAACACCAUACCGCCUCAUAAUUAUGUCAUCUACUUUUCUACCUGAUAUGAAUUGAGCUGUAUAUAAAAUACUGCCUUAUAAACAUAAAGCCAUAUACCAUACUGCAUUAUAUAAUUAUGCUAUGUGUACGCUUCUGCCUUACAUUAUUAAGUUAUAUGCCUCACUACUUUGAAUCAUCUUGCUAUCAUAUACUUCAUACUGUAAUAACGUAAGGUGUGAUAUACUGCCUUAUGUCAUGCCAUGCAAUAUACAGUAUAAUUAUAUCUCAUGGGGCAAUUAUACACCCUUAUAUUGGAUAUUGCCUUACAACAUUAACCCAUAUACCCUAUACUGGAUUGCCGUGAGUCUUUAUGUAAUAUGACAUAUACCAUACAGCCUUAAUUGCCUUAUUUCUUUAUGCCAUAUUGCAUGAACGAGGUCGCUUUAUAUUUUUAUAGGGCGUAAGGGAUUUUUUUAUACUCAGUAUUGUCUUAUAUCUUUAUGACAUAUAUGCAAUUGCCUUAUAUCUUUGUGUCGUAUAACAUAUACGAAAUUAUAUAGAAUCUUUAUGCCGUAUUCGGGAAUUCCGCAUAUCUUUAUUCCGUAUAUUAUGCAAUACACAGAACUGCCUUAUAUAUGCUAUAUAUAAAAUUGCCUUAAGUAAUUAAGCCAUAUAUCAUGCAGGAAGUUACAUCUUUAUGCUAUGCGCCAUAUACGGAAUCAGCUUAUUUUUUAAUAUCCUAUACGGUAUUGCCUUAUCCGUUUAUGCUAUAUAAGGAAUUGCCUUAUAUUUUUUGCUAUAUUUUACAGUUAAGUGAUUUCCUCAUAUCCUUAUGCUAUAGACAAUACAUAGAAAUGCUUUAUAUCUUUAUGCCACACUUCAUCUACGUGAUCGCCUUAUAUUUUUAUAUCAUAUACCAUACUACGUUAUAUCAUUAAGCCAUAUAACGUCAACUAUACUGCUUUAUAUAAAAGAACCACUAUCUUACUGCUUUCUAACUUCCUGACAUAUACAAUAUUCUUUUCUACUCUAGACACAAGGCCCGAAAACUUGGGGAAGGGCCAGUCGAUUAGAUUGACCUCAGUAUGCAACAGGUGCUUAAUUUAUCGACUUCGAAAGGAUAGAAGGCAAAGUCGACCUCAGCGGAAUUUGAACUCAGAGUGUAAAGACAGACGAAAUACCUAUUUCUUUACUACCCACAAGGGGCUAAACAUAGAGGGGACAGACAAGGACAGACAUAGGUAUUAAGUCGAUUACAUCGACCCCAGUGCGUAACUGGUACUUAUUUAAUCGACCCCGAAAGGAUGAAAGGCAAAGUCGACCUCAGUGGAUUUUGAACUCAGAACGUAGCGGCAGACGAAAAACCGCUAAGCAUUUCGCCCGGCUAGCCUUAACAUAAGGUCCAUAAGUAAAUAUCAAUACAAUACCAAGUAGGGCAAUAUAGAAUGCAGGCUGUGGGGAUAAUCAGGGUAAGGGUAAGGGGUCUGAGAUAAAGACAUACUGCCCCCCACCCCAAUGUUUCGGGCUUUGUGUCUAGAGUAGAAAAGAAUAUGCCGUGUGUGUGUGUGUAUUUGUGUGCAUGUGUUUAAGGUUUAUAUGAUUGUGUAUAGUUGGCAAUUAUGUUAGAGCACAGGAAAAUAUGUGUUGUGCUAUAUAUAUGUUCUGACCUGUGCCCGGAGUUCAAAUCCCGCCGAAGUCAAAUUUUCUGAGAAGGUACCAUCUCAGAGGCAGCGGGCUAAAUUGGCAGAACUGUUUCGUUUAUAUAUACCCGGCACUUAGCGUUCUGACAGCAACGUCUGUGGCGAUUCUAGGGUCUAGUUAUAGGGAACCAGUGGCCCAUUGUGGAUAAGGAAAAUCUCCACAUUACAAGAAAAUUUUUGCUCAGGCCUGCGAUUACGGGGCCAUAUAAAUGGUAGCCCUGACGGAUAAGGCCACCCUGGACGUGUGUGUUUGUGUAAUGUAUGUGAAUAAUGUGCAAUAUGUGUGUGUGUGUGUGUGUGUAAUAUGCGUGUGUGUAUGUAUAAUAUGCAUGUGUGUGUGCCAUGUGUAUGUUUAAUGAAUGUGUAUGCGUGUAACGUGUUUGUAGUGCAUGCUCUGUGUGUGUGUAAUGUGUGUGUUUAAUGUACGUGUAUAUAAAGUGCGAGUGUGUGUGUAAUGUGCAAAUGUGUGUUUAAUGUGCAUGUGUCAUGUGUAUGUGUCAUGUGGGUAACGUGUAUGUAAUGUGUGUAUAAUGUAUGAGUGUGUGCGUGUGUGUGCAUUUGUGUAGAGUGUGUGUGUUCGUGUAGUGUGUGUAUUUGUGUAAUGUGUGUGUAUAAGCUGUGUUUGUGUAGUGUGUAUGUAUAAGCUGUGUGUGUGUGUGUGUGUGUGUGUGUGUUUUACCUUACCGUAAACUAAUAAACUCUCGCUCUUCCUAUUUAGAUGGAGAAAUGGCUGCCAUCGGCCGAGCAAAUGUCCGUGAAAGAAGACAACUCGAAAGACUGACCUGUCCAAGCUAAUAUUUGUACACACCUCCACCUGGACACAUCCACGCAGAACUAAUCACAACACUAAUUAUAUAAAUAUUUAUAUAUAUAUAUAUGUGUAUGUAUAUACAUACACACAUCAACACUAACACAGACACACACACACGUAUAUACACACAUAUUAUCAUAUAUAUUUAUAUAUAUAUCCAGUUGGUGUGUAUUCUACAUCGGCUAUCAAUCUAUAUUUAAUCAGGUGAGCUAUUUGCUUUACAAAAUUAUUUGUGUAUAUUUAUACUACCUGAUCGAUCACAUCGACUUUCAUAUAUGUAUUAUCUUGUUGUUGUUGUCGUUGUUGUUGUUGUUGUUGUUGUUGUAGAGACGCUGUUGGUCAACGCUGACUGACCAAACAAAUCUAUGACAGAUACAUUCCUACCAUAAUCACCCACAACGAUUUUUUUUUUCCUUUUGUUUUUUAUACUUAUACAUUCACUUAUUUGCCAUCAUCAUCAUCAUCAUCAUUAUAAUAAUAAUAAUAAUUAUUAUUAUUAUUAUAAUUAUUAUCAUUAUUCAGGUGGCGAGCUGGCAGAAACGUUAGCACGCCGGGCGAAAUGCUUUGCGGUAUUUCGUCUGCCGCUACGUUCUGAGUUCAAAUUCCGCCGAGGUCGACUUUGCCUUUCAUCCUUUCGGGGUCGAUUAAAUAAGUACCAGUUACGCACUGGUGUCGAUAUAAUCGACUUAAUCCGUUUGUCAGUCCUCCCUCUGUUUAGCCUCUUGUGAGUAGUAAAAAAAUAGGUAUUUUGCCAGCCGUUACGUUCUGAGUUCAAAUUCCGCCCAGGUCGACUUUGCUUUUCAUCCUUUCGGGGUCGAUUAAAUAAGUGCCAGUUACACACUGGUGUCGAUAUAAUCGACUUAAUCCGUUUGUCUGUCCUUGUUUGUCCUCUCUGUGUUUAGCCCCUUGUGGGUAGUAAAGAAAUAGGUAUUUUGUCUGCCACUACGUUCUGAGUUCAAAUUCCGCCGAGGUCGACUUUGCCUUUCAUCCUUUCGGGAUGAAAUAAGUACCAGUCGAUUAAAUAAGUACCAGUUAUGCACUGGGGUUGAUAUAAUCGACUUAAUCCGUUUGUCUGUCCUUGUUUGUCACCUGUCUGUUUAGUCCCUUGUGGGCAAUAAAGACAUUAUUAUCAUUAUUAUUAUUAUUAUUAUUAUUAUUAUUAUUGUUAUUGCUAGUACUUAUAGUAGUCGUAGUAGUAAUAGUACUUGUAGACAAACAUUAUAGAACUUAGGAAUAGUUUAUGAAAUUUCUCAACCGGUCGGCUGAUAAUAUCAUUCAGGCAAAUUUAGCUGCUCUUUCUAGCUCCCUCACACACCCUUUGCUUGAUACUUCGUGCAGGCGCUCCGACCCUGUUGUCAUAGACAAUCUCGUUGCUAUUGCAAAAGGCUUGCGUGCGAGUGAUACGGGUUUUCUUUAAUGUUCACUACUUAAGCAAUCACUCGACCGUUCACUCUUACUAAUUCAUUCAGCUGAUAAUUAUGGAGAGAUACAGCGUUGUAUGAUCGUUAAUUCCCACCUGGUAAACACUAGUUAUAUAUAUAUACAUAUUUAUACACAUAUACAUACAUACAUACAUACAUACAUACAUACAUACAUACAUACAUACAUACAUACAUAGAUACAUAAUAAAAAUAUAUAAUUCAAAUUAACAGAAAAACAAAAGACGAUAUAUAUAUAUAUAAGGAUAAGAUCGAUAUUUAAAUACCGAUCUUAUCAGGUGGCCAGCAUGGGAAUAAAAACACAUUUGAAAGGUAAUAAUUAUUUAAAAUUAUAAUUUAGGCCAUUUCCAGCGUGGACGUAUCUCUUAGAUACCCUAAAUUAUAAUUAUAUAUAUACAUAUAUAUAUAUAUAUAUAUAUAUAUAUAUAUAUAUAUAUAUAUAUAUAUAUAUAUAUAUAUAUAUAUAUAUAUAUAUAUAUAUAUAUAUAUAUAUAUAUAUAUAUGUAUAUAUAUUGAUAGAAAUGGUAGGACAACAAAAGAAUGAAAGAGACCUCGAGAGUAUGUAAAUAGGGGAAUUUACCUGUAAAUACAAUAUGUGACAAUUAUUCGGUAGCCAUGAUAAAACUCCGAGUUUCGGAUGUCGGGGCGGAAACCCACGCCGCCAUCGAAAAAAAAAAAGAUCAAAAUUUUUUUUCGAUGGCGGAUGAAAGGUAAAAUCAACCUUGGGUGCAAUGUGAACACGGAACGCUGGCGGAAUCGAAAGUACGUCGGACUAAGUGCUUAGCAGCAUUUCGUCCGACGUACUUCCGAUAUACAAUAAAAUGCAAUAUAUAAUAUAUGCGCGGACAUGUGUAUGUGUGCGUAUAUUCAUAUAUACAUAUAUAUAUUAUAUAUAUAUAUAUAUAUAUAUAUAUAUAUAUAUAUAUAUAUAUAUAUAUAUAUACUUUGAUACUUUGAUACUUUGAUAGGUUUCGGCCAUUAUUGGCCCAGGCCAUGUCUAACUUAAUAGCACCACCUGGUGCUAUAUAUAUAUAUAUAUAUAUAUAUAUAUAUAUAUAUUUAAAUUUAUAUUUAUAUAUAUACAUAAGUAUAUACACACAUGCACACACUCACACCCGCACAUGCACAUACAUAAAUACGUACAUACGUACAUACAUACAAAUAUACACCAGUGUUAAUUAUCAGCUGGCAAACUAAUUUAUGCGUAUAUUAAAUAUACACGCAAUAUAUUUUGUUCAUUGCGAUGUAAACGUUAAUUUUCUCCUAGUUAAAAUAUUUAUGAGCAUGUUAAAUACACACUCACACACACACAUACACACGCGCACACACAUACACACACACACACACACACACACAGAGAAAUAUAUAAAGACAUCACUCUGUAAACUUAGAUGUUUAUUUGGCAAAACAUUUUCUGCGUAAAUCGAAUAUAAACACAGAAAAAAAAUACAUAUACACAGGUUUGUGUAAGGCGGUAACAGACAAACUCUUUAAUGUGUAGAUUACAUAUAUAUACACACGGAAAGUAUAUUAUAUACACACACGACUGUAUGAACGUUAAUAGAUGAACUAUUUUAUUUGUACGUCUAAAAUAUUCACAGGUAUAUAUACACACCGUUCUGUAAACGUUAAUUUUUAUUUGGUGAAAUAUUUUAUUAGUACGGGAAAGAUAUACGCAUAAAAACGCAUACAUAACACUCUAUAAACGCAAAUUUUUAUCUUGUACAUUAUAUAUCUGUAUAUUUUGAAUAUAUACACUCACAAAUUUAAUAUGUAUACACAUAUGCUCGUAUAAAUUAUAUUUAAUAUAUACACAUAUACACAUAUAAAUUAUAUUUGAUAUAUUCGCAUAUACAAAUAAAUUAUAUUUAAUAUAUAAACAUAUACACAUGUGUAAACAUAUACACAUAUAUACACAUAUGCACAUAUAAAUUACAUUUAAUAUAUACACACAUAUAUAUAAAUUAUAUUUAAUAUAUACACAUAUACACAUAUAAAUUGUAUUUAAUAUAUGCACAUAUAGAUAUGUUUAAUAUAUACACACAUAUACAUAUAUAAAAGAUAUUUAAUAUAUUCGCAUAUACACAAAUUAUAUUUAAUAUAUACACAUAUACACAUAUAGAUUAUAUUAAUAUAUACACAUAUAAAUUUGAUAUAAAUAUAUAUAAAAGUGUAAAUUACAUUUCCUGUAGAGACACCCAAAGGCGGCGAGCUGGCAGAAACGUUAGCACGCCGGGCGAGAUGCACAGCAGUAUCUUGUCGUCUUUACGUUCUCAGUUCAAAUUCCGCCGCGGUCAACUUUUCCUUUCAUCCUUUCGAGGUCGAAAAAUCAAGCACCAGUGAAACACUUGGGUGAAUGUAAUCGACUAUUCCUCUCUUCUAAAUAUCAGACCUUGUGCUUAUAGCAGAAAAGAAUGUAUAUAUAUAUAUACACAAGUACAUAAACACACGUGUGUAAACUUAAAUUUUCAGACGAUAAGCACUGAUUUUUUUUGUAUAUCAAGCGUAUAUAUAUAUAUAUAUAAUCAUAUAAAAGGGAAAUGGAAUUUAAUUAAAAUUAAAAUAUUCAAUCAAAAUUUACAUUUUCAGUGGUCUAACGCGCAAAAAAAAAUUAGUCAAGAAGACUAUAUAUUAGUCAUACGAUACAGUGUAUACUUAUACACAUAAGGAAUCCACUUAACGUGAAUUCAACACAUUAGAAAGAACAGCUAGGUUCUGUGGUUUACAUAUAUAUAUAUAUAUAUAUAUAUAUAUAUAUAUAUAUAUAUAUAUAUAUAUAUAUAUAUAUAUUUAUGAGCAUGUCCACAUAUGCAAGUAUACGCAUGAGAAGACAUACAUAAAACAAAACAUACAAAUCUGCACAUAUACAUACAUCAAUACAUACAACCAUGUAUACACACAUACAUACAUGUAUAAAACCAUGUAUACAUACAUAUAUACGUACGUACUUACAUACAUAUAUACGUACGUACAUACAUACAUACGUACGUACAUACAUACAUACGAUUAUAGAUGCACACAAAUCCUUAAUUCAUAAGAUACAAAUAAUAUGCGGAAGCAUAAAAAUCUGCAAUACAUUCUUAAGAUUUAAAGUAUGAUUAACUAAACAAGAUGGUUUCCUUCACAACCCUGCCAGCAAGAUGACGACCGAUCAAAAUUUAUUCUAAAUCAAUGGGAGAAAAAGAUUAAAAUACAAGUGUGUGAAUAUGAUUCUAUACCACAGGAAAUUGGGACGAUGUGAUUUCUCUUUAAAUGAUAUAUCGUUAUAUCUAGAUGGGUUCAUAGUGAAUCCUAUUCAGUAAAUAUCUUGAUCAACUUGGAGAGUAUUUCAUAUAAAUAAUUAACAUAAAUUUAUAGACAUUUAGUUUUGGCAGACAACAGUGUGACAGUGUGCGAGGAGAGGAACGAAAGGUAAAAACUAUAUAUACAUAUACACUUUCGCAUAGACACACGCAUAUAUGCAUACAUGGAAAUAUAUAUGUGUUUGUGUGUGUGUAUGUAUAUAUAUAUAUACACACAUAUAUAUAUAGAGAGAGAGAGAGAGAGAGAGAGAUAGAUAGAUAGAUAGAUAGAUAGAUAGAUAGAUAGAUAGAUAGAUAUAGAUAUAUAUAUACAUAUAUGAUAAAUGCGGAAACUAAUUUCUGUGUGUCAGUGUGUCACACUUUGAACCCCUCUCUUACUAUUCAACGACACUUCGUCAUGCUGGGGUGAGAGUAAUAGUAGGCAUAGAGACGGUGAGGGGCGGUAGCGAUGGCAGACAAACAGACAGAAAGAAAGAAAGAAAAAGAGAGGGAGAGAAAGAGAGAGACAAGGAAAUUUAGGGACAGUUGAUGAUGUUUUAUUAAAAGUAGUAGUGUUGAUGGUGGCAGUGGGAGUAAUAAUAAGAGAGAGAGGGAGAGAGAGAGUGUGUGUGUGGGGGGGUAUGUGAGAGAAAGAGGGAGAUGAUGUACAACUUUCCUGAACAGAAAUUCCUGUGGCCAUACUGAACCACCUACUGAACAAUAUCGUUUUUGUUUUAUUUUUUGCUUUCUGUAAUACACACACACAUACACACAAUCACACAUAUACACGGACGCACGAACACACACACACACACACACACACACAUAUAUAUAUUUAUAUUUAUGUAUGUAUGUAUGUAUGUAUGUAUGUAUGUAUGUUUAAUCAUCCGAAAUUGCGAGGAUGAUCCGGUUCUUGACUGAAGAUUGAAGGGUUCGAAUGUCCCGUCCGUGUUUUUUGUAUCGUCUUCUAAAUGUUUUGCGUUCUUGUCCCAGUUUGUAUUUUUUUACAUAUACAUACAUAUAUAUAUAUAUAUAUAUAUAUAUAUAUAUAUAUAUAUAUAUAUAUAUAUAUAUAUAUAUAUAUAUAUAUAUAUAUAUAUAUAUAUAUAUAUACACACAAAUAUAUAUAUAUGUAUAUAUAUGUAUGUAUGUAUGUAUCUAUGCAUACAUACAUUUGUGUAUUUAUGUAUUGAUAUAUGUAUAUAUGAAUAGACACUUGAAUUGUAUUUUUAUCUCCGUUUGUACAAUAAUUCUUAUUCAUAUCUUUCCUUUUUUUCUUUCAAUCCUCAGAGACACAAAAGGAAACCACGCGAGGACGAACCAACGACCCAUGCAAACAAACGAAAUUUUCCCUCAAUAUCGCCCAAGUUGUAACUAGAAAUGCUUAUCUACUUGAUGUACCUUAACGGGUACAUCCAGAUCCCUAGCCUGAGCGAGUCUCAACCGCUUCUUCAACCACCGCCUCCUUCUCCUUUUCCUUUUCCAUCUUAUUGAUGCAGUCAUCCUGUAAAUACUGAUAUUAUCAAUGCAAUUCAACGUUUGUAUUCUUUUGGAUAUAUUACAUGAAAAUAUCAAAUAUAUCACAUGAUAUUUACUGUACAAGCUUCAAUGAUUCAAUGAUAGAAUGGUCAAAGAAUAAAUAUCAUUAUACACCAAUCUAAUACGAUAAUUUAUCCGAUGUUGGUAUAGUCCACUUGUUCAACGUGUAUUGUGUUAUUAGCUAUUUCAAAGAGUGUCCUUCGGUCUGGUAGGUCACCGAGUCAGUUUGUCAUUUAAUUCCAUCUGUAGUUGAAAUCAACGUGGGUAGUUGCUGGAGUUGUUACCGGGGAAAAAAAACAAACAACAGCAACAAAAGCAAGGACAAUAGUAGCGGCAUCAAGAAUAAUAACAACAGUAGCAACAACGGUAAAGGCGUCACGACCUGCCAGAAAUAGCAGCCAAAUUCUCUGGAAUUACAUUCCGGUAUUGUCUCUUUCUCAUUAUAAAAAUCAGGAAGAAAAUAUUGCAGAAUGUCGUAGAUAUGCAGACUGACAGGAUGCUCAUGGCUGGAGUGUCUUUCAUGCAUCAGCCAGAUAAGCUAGGGCUGGCCUGGGAUUAAACAGCACCACCAACAGCAAAAUAACAACUGCACCAAUUGUAGCAGACAAACUGAUAGAUAUAUGAUCAUAUCAAUUACCACUGGCGCCCUCUGUGUUGGUUGUACAACUUGUACCGUGUGAAGUUAGUUGUAGCAGCAGCAACAACAACAAUAACAACAGCAUAAUCAUCAGCAACAACAAAUUCAAUAACAACAAAUAUUGUUACAGCAACAACAAGAAAAACAACAAAAACAACUGCUGCAGCUACAAAAAAGCAAAACAUAAACAGUGUUAACAACAAUAACAUUGUGAACAGUAAGAUUACGAAGAGCGACAACCUGCUCUUGUUUGCGUAUUGAGUGCAAGAACAUCAACCUCAGUUUUGACACAACAGGAGCCUUCAUAAGAACAACACCGACAGCAGCAGCAGCAGCAAAGGCUACGGCAGCAACAACAAUAACAAGAACAGUAAGAAGUACAACGAAAGCAACAAGUGAAGUGUCAUUAGCAACAACGACGAAUUCAAGAAAGAAACAAUAACAACAACAACAAGAACGACAUCAACAACAUUUAAAUUGCAGCACUGCCAACAACAACAACAAAGACAACAACAAUUACGCCACCAACAAUCUUAAUAGACAGAUUUAUGUAACUUAAAACGCUACUAACUCGCGAAUCGCUCCUCAUUCCUGUCGUGACUCUUAAGUGAAGAACUGAAAUAUAGGCUGCCGGCAGACACUAGAACAAAUAUCUACUGAAUCAAACAUAAGCCUACCCUCUAGCGCCACAACGGCUACCGCAUCAUCACCACUGCCACUAUCACCAGCCAUCGCCACCACCACCCCUUCCACCAAGAACACCAACACCAACAAUGUCACCAUCAACUCUCCCCACCCCAUCCAAACUCGUGUGAUGUCUACGUACAGUAUUUCAUAGCUGUCUAAAUAGAAAUAAGCUGCAUCUAAUCAGAUAUUCAUCAAUCAUUAACCAUAUUGAUUGAUCACUAAUCACUGAUUAAUCACUGUUCGAAAUUAGACUAGGAAAUAUUCCAUUCACCGAUAGAUAUAUAUAUCUUUAUAUAUUUGAAACUGUUACAUUUUUUCAAUGAAUUUAACCACCAGUAACCCAAUAAGUGGAUAAACACACGAACACAUAUACAUAUAUAUACUUAAACACACGCAUAUAAACGUAUGUAUAUAUUUAGAAACAUAUAUGUAUAAAGGUAUGCGUUUAAAUAUGCAUAUAUCCGUGUACUAGCAAUCUGUAUAUUAUACUUAUAUAUAUAUAUAUAAAUAUAUAUAUAUACAUAUAUACAUA